UUUAUGAAGCCGCGGUUUGGUGGGUCUCAGGGUGCCGCUUUAAAGCCAAAUUUAAAUUUGGGCAGGAAGCAUGCAACCAAGCCCAUCAGUUGCACUUCUGAUUCUUCUGCGAUGUCCAGCACUGUCACAAGUGCCAUGACAAGGAGGACACCAUCGCCUGCCCGCAGUCCCAGAUUGUACAUUCAGACUGUCUCGACUCUGUCUCUUCCUCCCUCUCCUGUGUCCACAACCACCUCCUCGAUACCAUUGGUAGCUGCUAGAGCUGAAGUGUCAUCUCCCGCCUCCUCGUCUGGUACCUCCUCUGCUCCUCUUGCCCCUGUGACCUCUGCAUCUGCCACUGCCACCUCUUUUUUUGUCAACUCUGCUGCUCCAUCUGUGGUUGGUUUCU